UUAAAAGAAAAAGAAAAAAAGAAAUUUAGACAAUGAUUUCAUGGUAUAUAAUCUUCCAUUCCUUAACCCUUCACCAAGAAUGGCAAAAAAAAUAUUGGUUAUCUUUUUUCAGGAACUUUGUUAUUCAUAAGUCAAAAGAGUCAUUUAUUACUGUUAACUGUUCAGUUCUCUACUUGUCAUAGCCAAAUCACAUAAGAGUCCUCAAAUCGGUGUUUAGAGUCUAAAUGAACCAAGCUGAGUUUCCACUGUUCAGGCUGAGUUUCUUCUGUAGCUGUUAUUGUAUUUUUUAAACAUUCUCUGACCAACAAAUUUAAAUUUUAAUUAAGUUUAAUUGGCAUGACAUGUGUGAGAACAUGCUUUUAAUUUAUUAUACUUAAUUUAAUCUG
rnacentral:misc_RNA from 1 species